UACAUAGGUGGCAAGCGUUGUCCGGAAUGACUGGGCGUAAAGGGAGCGUAGGCGGUCAAUUAAGUUGGGAGUGAAAUCCCGGGGCUCAACCCCGGAACUGCUUUCAAGACUGGUUGACUUGAGUGUAAGAGGGGUAAGUGGAAUUCCUAGUGUAGCGGUGGAAUGCGUAGAUAUUAGGAGGAACACCAGUGGCGAAGGCGACUUACUGGAUUACAACUGACGCUGAUGCUCGAAAGCGUGGGUAGCAAACAGG
rnacentral:rRNA from 1 species